CACGUAGGCACCAAGCGUUAUCCGGAAUUAUUGGGCGUAAAGAGCUCGUAGGCGGUUUGUCGCGUCUGCCGUGAAAGUCCGGGGCUCAACUCCGGAUCUGCGGUGGGUACGGGCAGACUAGAGUGAUGUAGGGGAGACUGGAAUUCCUGGUGUAGCGGUGAAAUGCGCAGAUAUCAGGAGGAACACCGAUGGCGAAGGCAGGUCUCUGGGCAUUAACUGACGCUGAGGUGCGAAAGCGUGGGGAGCAAACAGG
rnacentral:rRNA from 1 species